ACUGCCCUGGCCCUCAUUCGAUGUAUUUUAAAUAAUCAACUAAAUUUAAGUAUUAAAGAAUAUGCAAAUAAGUAUACUGAUUGUGCUGAAACUGACAUGAAUUUGAUUUCACCGGUUUCUAUAUAUAUUGCUGCCACAUUUUCCCUACAACAAUGUUCAUUAAACUCUCGAUGGUGAUGUUUUUUAGCUUCAGCCGGUGCUACCAGUCGAUCGAACUUCUGAUUCAAUGCGCGGUUUUAGUUGUGAAAUCUAUUGAACACAUGUUGCUGUAGUGGUUGCGUACUGAUACGUGCAAGGGAGAGAAAAAAUCUAUUUAGUAGCGAUCAAACUACUAAUUGCAUUUUUGCCAUAAAAUACUUAACAUUCCAUGCAGCUUAUUAGUGGUUUGAGUCACUUUCAGUGGAUAGAUUUCUCGGAAUUAAGAGCGAAAAUCGCUGCGUAGUUGUGCGUUCAUGCCUCGUGCUGAGACCGUCACUAUCGGAUACAAAUGACGUCAUCGGUUCCAUUAAGAAUUUUGAAAAAUAUUAGAUAAACCCACAACGCACAACGGUAUCAACGCUGGUUGGUAUCCGCGCUUGUUUUGGUCUACUUGCCUACACAGUGGAACCAUGUCGUGUGCGGUGCUGCGGUGCAGUGUGAGCUACACUACCACCAAAAGGGGGUUAUCCGCGAUCACACAGCGACAGCACAGCACAGUGGAUAGGGUGAUCGGCGGAACCCUUUGUUUGUAAAAAAAAUAUAUGCGCAUACUAACAAACAUCGCUCUCUAUCUGUUGGUUGGGGCUGUUUGUUGUAGCAGCAGCAGCAGUAGUAAACGAGUAAGCAAGAGAAAAGCAGAAAAUUCAAUAUUUUGAUUGUUUGCUUGGAUUUGAUGCUGCUUACGGAAUUAGAAAAGAAUCUAGAGCCAUCUGUAGAUAGGAUCAUUUGAAACAAUAGUGCUAAAGAAGUGUUUAUCUGGUGCGAUUUUAUUCCGUGUGAAGAAGCGAUUCUGCGCAAACUAACAUAAAGGAAGACGUUGCUUUCGCGCUCCUCUCUCUCUCUCUCGUACGAGAGAAACUGCUGGUCUGAUGGGUGUGUGUUGGUGACGGAGAAAAUACAUUUGUUUACAUUUUCCACAGUCGUUAGAAAGGGUGGUUUGAAGAAAAAACCUCGUGGUGAAAGAUUAUUUGUGGUGAUGCGUGAAAUGCAGGGCCACAAUUUAUGCGGUUGAUUAUAAGGUAU